GUGAGAGCAAAGGUAUCAUCAAGAGUGGUUUGGAGAGGUGAGAUGGGAAGGUACCUUCAUAUGUCUACACCAAAGUUUUAUAAAGGUAGCAAUGGAAAAGGGAUUCUGCUAUUGAUGAAAUCUUUAAAUAAUGAAAGGUGAGAUACUGGGGAGAUUAAUAGGUGUUUUUUUUGUUGUUGUUGCUGAUGGUUGUGUAGCUUUUUCUUCAUAUAUUUGUUUAUUUGUUUAGCUCUGCAGAAUGAAUUUGUUUUCUUCUGCAGAAUGCAUUUCUAUUUCCCAAGAUACUGUCAUCUAAUUAAAAUUAAUAAUAAUAAUUCUUUCUAACAUGGUUCUUAUUCUCAGCAGAAUAGUAUAGCAAUUCUCCUGUAAGAGCCAGACAUACCAGUACAGUUCUUGUCUCUGAGUAAGCAGAGGAUGAGAUCAGCUCUCCUUUCUUAAUGACAAGAUACUCUUAGACUUGACAGAAUGAAUGACGGCCAAGAAACAAAGAGGAGGAAGCAAAGAAGACAUUGAAAUUCUUCUUUUCCAGUGUGUGCCCAUUGCUUAUUGUCCUGGUACUGGAAACUAGUGAAAGGAGUCUGGCUCCACCCUCUUUUUACUUCUCUGCAGGUAUACGUAGACACUGAUCAGAUUCCCCUGUGUCUCCUCUUCUCCCGGCUGAGCAGCCUCAGCUCUCUCAGCUUCUCCUCACAGGAGAGGUGCUCCAGUCCCCAGCUUAGGGGCUCCAGAAAGACAAUGCCCACUGUUUGGCCCUCAUUUAUCAGGCUGAUGAUUUCAUUAGGGAAGCUUAUCAGGUUUAUCAGGCAUAAUUUCUUCCUUGUGAAUUGAUGCUGACCACAACUGAUAUUUUUCGUCUCUUUUCUAUGCCUGGAAAUGGUUUCCAAGACUAGCUUUUUCCAUCACCUUCCCAGAGACUGAGGUUGGAUAUAUCCCUUUGCUCAAAGAAAUGGCUUGUUCUCUGCUCCUGAGAUAUUGGUGAAAAGCUGUAAUUAAGGACCCUGAUAAUAGUACAUGGAUUCUAUUGGCGAUAAAGUAUCAUACAAGAACCGGAUGAAAUAUCUACCCUAGCAAACAGUCCUGCUGAUUGAGUGGCUCAACUCGGACAAUGGGCUCCUGCCUACAUA
ensembl:lncRNA